ACGGGAGGCAGCAGUGGGGAAUAUUGCACAAUGGGGGAAACCCUGAUGCAGCGACGCCGCGUGGAGGAAGAAGGUCUUCGGAUUGUAAACUCCUGUUGUUGGGGAAAAAGAGGAUGGUACCCAACAAGGAAGUGACGGCUAACUACGUGCCAGCAGCCGCGGUAAAACGUAGGUCACGAGCGUUGUCCGGAAUUACUGGGUGUAAAGGGAGCGCAGGCGGGUAUGCAAGUUGGGAGUGAAAUACAUGGGCUCAACCCAUGAACUGCUCUCAAAACUGUGUAUCUUGAGUAGUGCAGAGGUAGGCGGAAUUCCCGGUGUAGCGGUGGAAUGCGUAGAUAUCGGGAGGAACACCAGUGGCGAAGGCGGCCUACUGGGCACCAACUGACGCUGAGGCUCGAAAGUGUGGGUAGCAAACAGGAUUAGAUACCCUGGUA
rnacentral:rRNA from 2 species